AGGGGAAACGACAUCGAAAGCUUGCUUUUGAUGGGCGUCGACCGGCGCACGGGUGAGUAACGCGUAUCCAACCUGCCCACCACUUGGGGAUAACCUUGCGAAAGUAAGACUAAUACCCAAUGACGUCUCUAGAAGACAUCUGAAAGGGAUUAAAGAUUUAUCGGUGAUGGAUGGGGAUGCGUCUGAUUAGCUAGUUGGUGAGGUAACGGCCCACCAAGGCGACGAUUGGUAGCCGGACUGAGAGGGUGAACGGCCACAUUGGAACUGAGACACGGCCCAAACUCC
rnacentral:rRNA from 1 species